rnacentral:rRNA from 1 species
AGGACGAACGCUGGCGGCGUGCUUAACACAUGCAAGUCGAACGGUGAAGCCUUUCGGGGUGGAUCAGUGGCGAACGGGUGAGUAACACGUGAGUAAUCUGCCCUUGACUCUGGGAUAACUUCGGGAAACCGUGGCUAAUACCGGAUAUGACGCAUGGUCGCAUGGUCUGUGUGUGGAAAGAUUUAUUGGUCAGGGAUGAGCUCGCGGCCUAUCAGCUUGUUGGUGGGUAAUGGCCUACCAAGGCGACGACGGGUAGCCGG